rnacentral:rRNA from 1 species
CUGCUGCCUUCCGUAGGAGUUUGGGCCGUGUCUCAGUCCCAAUGUGGCCGUCCACCCUCUCAGGCCGGCUACUGAUCGCUGCCUUGGUAGGCCGUUACCCUGCCAACUAGCUAAUCAGACGCGGAUCCAUCUUACACCACCGGAGUUUUUCACACUCCCCCAUGCGGGGCUGUGCGCUUAUGCGGUAUUAGCACCUAUUUCUAAGUGUUAUCCCCCAGUGUAAGGCAGGUUAUCCACGCGUUACUCACCCGUCCGCCAA